UGGGGAAUAUUGGGCAAUGGGGGAAACCCUGACCCAGCAACGCCGCGUGGAGGAAGAAGGUUUUCGGAUCGUAAACUCCUGUCCUCAGGGAAGAGCAGAAGACGGUACCUGAGGAGGAAGCCCCGGCUAACUACGUGCCAGCAGCCGCGGUAAUACGUAGGGGGCAAGCGUUGUCCGGAAUGAUUGGGCGUAAAGGGCGCGUAGGCGGCUCGGUAAGUCUGGAGUGAAAGUCCUGCCUUCAAGGUGGGAAUUGCUUUGGAUACUGUCGGGCUUGAGUGCAGGAGAGGUAAGUGGAAUUCCCAGUGUAGCGGUGAAAUGCGUAGAUAUUAGGAGGAACACCAGUGGCGAAGGCGGCUUACUGGACUGUAACUGACGUUGAGGCUCGAAAGCGUGGGGAGCAAACAGGAUUAGAUACCCUGGUAGU
rnacentral:rRNA from 1 species